ensembl:lncRNA
CCAACAUGCAAGAAGGUGGCAGGGUCUCCCAGAACAUAUGAGUAUUGGCAACGUAAAGAGACAUCCACGGAGGUCUACAAAGAGCCAUGUCUUCCUAUGUUGAUGCGGUACUUCGAUAUGGCGCUGGAUGCCACAGUUGGGACUCUCUUUGGACUGGCAAUUGUGGCGCUCAUUGGGACAAUCAUGGCCAUUCUCAUGAUCUGCCAGCUCAGGAAGCAAAUGGCUGAGAUGCCAAUGUAUGAAUACUCCAAGCCUCCAGCAUACAAUGGGUUGGUGGAUAUGUAUGCCUGAGCAUUUCUAAGAUUUUUGUUUCAGUAUGCUUCAUAUUUGUUUCUGACAAAGCAUUUGAAAAUAGUCAAGGCAAGGUUUUAUUUUUGUAUUUCUGUUAGGGGAUAACACAUCUCUUUUAUGUCGUCAGAUUUUACCUGAAAAGUUUCUGUAAAGUUUUUAUUAGUUACCUUUUUGUAUGCAUUGAGACAGAAAGAAAGAUUACUAUGGACUAUGGAAAGGGGGUGUUGAAUCUGGAAAAUAUAUAAAAUGACGUGUGUAAGCAAGGACACUGCUCAGUAACAACCUGGGAAGUGAUCUACAAUGUCCAUGUUUCUUGUACGGUAUGCAGUUUUGUAGCUGUGUAGCUCAGCCUGAGUACCUUGUUUUGGGCAUACUUACUGGACUUUCUUUCCGUGCUUCAUGCUUCUUAUCUGUUUAUGUCAGAAUUUGAAACAAGUCCAGUGAAGACAC